rnacentral:rRNA from 1 species
GACGUAGGGCGCGAGCGUUGUCCGGAUUUAUUGGGCGUAAAGAGCUCGUAGGCGGCUUGUCGCGUCGACUGUGAAAACCCGUGGCUCAACCAUGUGGUCUGCAGUCGAUACGGGCAGGCUAGAAUUCGGUAGGGGAGACUGGAAUUCCUGGUGUAGCGGUGAAAUGCGCAGAUAUCAGGAGGAACACCGGUGGCGAAGGCGGUGCUCUGGGCCAGUAUUGACGCUGAGGAGCGAAAGCGUGGGGAGCGAACAGG